UUAAAAUCAUCCUUGAGAUGUAGAAAAUAGUGUCUUUAUACAGUUCGUAGUAUAUUUAGAGGUGCAUGUGCCUUAUUAACUCUGUUUUCUCCUAGAGCUCCAGGAAGAAAUCACAGCCCGUGUUUCAGCCUAUCUGUGAUUCGGGGGGCGUGUCAUAAAUAUAAAGGGAAGGGUCUACUUCAAAGUCUUGAUGAUUGCCGAUUGGUCACCUAAGGACUCCAAGCUGUCAAGAGAAGGCCUGGAGCAGUAUAAAAGUCUCUUGGGUCCUGAUCCUUUUUAUCUCAGAUCUGCUUAAUGCUUUAUGCAGGGGAAGCUUAAGUCGUAAGACUGAGAUCUCCAAUCCUACCUGGACCACCCUGGAUACGAACACUGGACUGAAUCUAUGGACUAAUUCUAAGAACUCUUUGCAACUACAAAGCUCACCAUCUCUACUAUGUAACUGAUCUCAGAACUGUACUCAUGUCUGUAUCUAUAUUGAUCUUUUAAGCAAUACUCACUCUUUUCUUUUUUAAUAAAUUUUAGUU